AAGGAAUUGCUGUGUUUACUAAGGCGAUAUAAAGAAGGCACCAUGAAGAAGCUGAUGUUAAUUGUCUUAAUACUGUUCAUAACUAUAGAUAUUGUCUAUCCUUGUGGUUGCCUUGCUGUAUGGGAUCCAGUUUGCUCCACUGCUGGUAAAACACACAGUAAUGUAGGAUGCAUGAUUUGCGACAAAGAAGUUUUAGCUUGCCACCAUGAAUGUCCAUGUUAAUACUAACAGUUAUAAAAGCAAGAACAAAUGGGACAGAACACUAAGUGAGAUUGAAUUAUAUAUUUAAUAUAUACAAAAAUAUCAAAGAAUAAAACAAAAUUUCACUUUA